rnacentral:tRNA from 1 species
GCCGGGGUAGCUCAGUUGGUUAGAGCGGCGGUCUCAUAAUCCGCAGGUCUCCGGUUCAAGUCCGGACCCCGGUA